ACGCUGGCGGCAGGCCUAACACAUGCAAGUCGAGCGGUAGCACAGAGAGCUUGCUCUCGGGUGACGAGCGGCGGACGGGUGAGUAAUGUCUGGGAAACUGCCUGAUGGAGGGGGAUAACUACUGGAAACGGUAGCUAAUACCGCAUAACGUCGCAAGACCAAAGUGGGGGACCUUCGGGCCUCAUGCCAUCAGAUGUGCCCAGAUGGGAUUAGCUGGUAGGUGGGGUAACGGCUCACCUAGGCGACGAUCCCUAGCUGGUCUGAGAGGAUGACCAGCCACACUGGAACUGAGACACGGUCCAGACUCCUACGGGAGGCAGCAGUGGGGAAUAUUGCACAAUGGGCGCAAGCCUGAUGCAGCCAUGCCGCGUGUGUGAAGAAGGCCUUCGGGUUGUAAAGCACUUUCAGCGGGGAGGAAGGCGGUGAGGUUAAUAACCUCAUCGAUUGACGUUACCCGCAGAAGAAGCACCGGCUAACUCCGUGCCAGCAGCCGCGGUAAUACGGAGGGUGCAAGCGUUAAUCGGAAUUACUGGGCGUAAAGCGCACGCAGGCGGUCUGUCAAGUCGGAUGUGAAAUCCCCGGGC
rnacentral:rRNA from 1 species